rnacentral:lncRNA from 1 species
UAACCUUCAAUCAUUAUAUAUCAUUAAGUUUUUGUUACAACGAGGUUCACAACAAAUAUCAGUACAAAAUACGUUAUCUGAAAACAUAAAUAUUUCUAACUGAUUACAACAAUCAAAUUGAUGUCAUCUCGACCGAACAUCAUUUCGCUAUCAUCCUUAUACAGUCUUCAUUCGCACCCAACCAAAGAUAAUGUCGAGUCUCUCGAUACUUCUAUUUUUUUUCCCACUAACAAAAAUAACCACCUUCAAAG